AUUGAACGCUGGCGGCAGGCCUAACACAUGCAAGUCGAACGCGUGGCGGACGGGUGAGUAAUGACUGGGAAAAUGACUGAUGGAGAGGGAUAACUACUGGAAACUGUUGCUAAUACCGCAUACCAUCAGCUGUGUCCAGAUGGGAUUAGCUUGUUGGUGGGGUAACGGCUCACCAAGGCGACGAACCCUAGCUGGUCUGAGAGGAGGCCAAGCCACACGGGAACUGAGACACGGUCCAGACGCCUACGCGAGGCAGCAGUGGGGAAUAUUGCACAAUGGGCGAAAGCCUGAUGCAGCCAGGCCGCGUGUAUGAAGAAGGCCUUCGGGUUGUAAAGUACUUUCAGCUGGGAGGCGUUACCAACAGAAGAAGCACCGGCUAACUCCGUGCCAGCAGCCGCGGUAAUAC
rnacentral:rRNA from 1 species